CCUACGGGAGGCAGCAGUGGGGAAUAUUGGGCAAUGGAGGCAACUCUGACCCAGCAACGCCGCGUGACUGAUGAAGGUCUUCGGAUUGUAAAGUUCUUUUUUAAGGGAAGCAGACAGUGACGGUACCUUAGGAAUAAGCCUCGGCUAACUACGUGCCAGCAGCCGCGGUAAUACGGGGGAUGCGAGCGUUAUCCGGAUUUAUUGGGUUUAAAGGGUGCGCAGGCGGUCUGUUAAGUCAGCGGUCAAAGCCCGGGGCUCAACCCCGGCCCGCCGUUGAAACUGGCAGUCUCGAGUUGGAGAGAAGUAUGCGGAAUGCGCGGUGUAGCGGUGAAAUGCAUAGAUAUCGCGCAGAACUCCGAUUGCGAAGGCAGCAUGCCGGCUCCACACUGACGCUGAGGCACGAAAGCGUGGGUAUCGAACAGGAUUAGAUACCCGAGUAGUC
rnacentral:rRNA from 1 species